rnacentral:lncRNA from 1 species
CCCUAUAAAGUUAAACUUAGGAAAAACUUUAAAUACCACCCAUAGGGGUAGUUUCGCACUUUCUCACUUUAGUACUAUGUUGUUUAAAGUGUUAAUUUAGUACUCUAUAAUUUCAUUUUUAUCUUUUUAUCCGUCAUUCCACUAAUUUUUUUUUUGUUAAAUCAAUAACAAAGUUAAAACUAAAAUAUACUAAAGUGAAUAUUCGAUAAACCUAGAUGGGUGUCUAAAGUUUUUAAUAUAUAAUUUAACGAAAUAUUAACAGAGAAGUUGACGAAAAGAAAAAAAAUGAAACCACAGGAUAUUAACUUGAUACACUUUAAACCAUAGGGUAUUAAAGUGAGAAAGUGCGAAACUACAGGGUUGGUAUUUGAAGUUUACUGUUUACCCUUAAACUUAUAUGUUGUUUCUGUAAAAGUUCUAAUAUUUUUAAAUAUGCCCUUCUAAUUUCUUACCGUUAGAAAAUUUUCUAUAUUUUAAGGACAAAUAAGUAAAAUGUCAAUUUAUCAUCACAAAAAUGUUUCUCCAAAUGUCACAUAUGUAUAAUAUAAGAGAGGUAAAAAUAUCGAGCUAUUUUAUAAACUAAUAAGGAUUAAGCUUUUAACCUAUGAUUAAAUAAAUUUUUCUAAAUGUAAUGAUAUAUUUAAAAAUAUUAGAAUCUUUACAGAGAUAAUAUAUAAAAGUUAAAUUUUAUAGAAAAAUAUUUAUAAUUUAUUAUGUUUGUAGGGACCUAUAUGCAAUUAAUC